UACGUAGGGUGCAAGCGUUAAUCGGAAUUACUGGGCGUAAAGCGUGCGCAGGCGGUUUUGUAAGUCUGUCGUGAAAUCCCCGGGCUCAACCUGGGAAUGGCGAUGAAGACUGCAAGGCUAGAAUCUGGCAGAGGGGGGUAGAAUUCCACGUGUAGCAGUGAAAUGCGUAGAGAUGUGGAGGAACACCGAUGGCGAAGGCAGCCCCCUGGGUCAAGAUUGACGCUCAUGCACGAAAGGCGUGGGAGCAAA
rnacentral:rRNA from 1 species